UGUUAUGCACCAGUCUACUCAGGCCCUGUGCAGUAUGUUUAAUUUCCAAUGAUAUCACUAGAAUUGAUCGUUGGGUGGGAAUCUCGUUACAUGUGUGUGAGUUUAUGAUCCCAUCUUGAUAAAGGGUCUGGAAAGGUGUUUUCUUGACAUCCCUUUUGGACUGGCAGUCUUGGAGUAAUGGGAAGGCAACACACCGUGACCCGUAGCAAUUCUAGCCCCAAAAGAGCGCAGGAUCGCCGCAGUGAGCUGUUUAAAUGGAGCGAGCAGUUUAAAUUCUCCAACAUCGAAGAUUGGACAGUAGAUUAAGGAAUUGCGUAUGUUCCCGGUAAAGGCUAAAGCAAUAAACCUGGGUAUACAUCUAGAGAUCUGCGGUUUUGUUUAUUGCUAAGUCACGUUAAAGGUUUGAACGAAAAAAACGAAAGUAGAUGAGUUUUAUAGAAAUUCUCAUCUUCCAUAAAAAAAGGAAUCUUCCUUCCAACAGCGAGGCAAAGAUACUCGCUAAAGUUGCAAUAGGAAUUGGGAAGGAUUUGUUUACAGCCGAAGAGAGCUACGGCUUCUGUGUUACCAAGUGUGAGCUAGAAAAUCCAGCCUUUCAGUUCUUCACUCUGCACAUCAGAAGAAGCAAACCAAAAAUAAGAGAAAUCCAUUGGACUUUUACAAAUGUAGGAGCUCCUUUUUAAACUUAUUUGAGUUCUUCAGAACGUAAACUAGCAGAGGGACUUAACAAGCAUUUAACAUCGGAAUCGGAAUUGCUUCAAAGGUGUUAGCUUACAGCGUCUGAUUUAAAUGGAUUGAAGCUACUGGAGAGAGCUUUCGUUUGUGAAAUCUACUUCCUGUAGCCAAAGUAUGUGUUUCUUAUCGUAUUUGAUGAAUAAAAAGCUCGUUUUGAAA